UCGUCUACCCGCGUUCAUCCGUGGGUGAGGACUAUUAUUUGAAUACUUGCCCCCUCCUUUUUUCUGCCUUUCUGCGAUAGGGGCUGAUUGUGCUUCCUCGUCUACCCGCGUGCAUCCGUGGGUGAGGACUAUUAUUUGAAUACAUGCCCCCUCCUUUUGCUCGCCUUUCUGCGACUGAGGCUAAGUGUGAUUCCUCGUCUACCUACGUUCAUCCGUAGGUGAGGACUAUUAUUUGAAUACUUGCCCCCUCCUUUUGCUCGCCUUUCUGCGACUGAGGCUAAGUGUGAUUCCUCGUCUACCUACGUUCAUCCGUAGGUGAGGACUAUUAUUUGAAUACUUGCCCCCUCCUUUUGCUCGCCUUUCUGCGACUGAGGCUAAGUGUGAUUCCUCGUCUACCUACGUUUAUCCGUAGGCGAGGAAUGUUCUUGAGCACGUCCCUCGUCUAAUCCUACGUUCUUCCGUAGGUGAGGUUUACUCUUGAGUACGUCCCUCGUCUAACCUACGUUCUUCCGUAGGUGAGGUUUACUCUUGGACACUUGCCCCUCUGUCUACAUUUUUGUAGAAUGGGGUGUGUGUUUAGCCGACGUGUCCCCCGUCUAACCUACGUUCUUCCGUAGGUGGGGUUCACUUUUGCCGCUGUGUUCCCCGUCUAACCUACGUUCUUCCGUAGGUGGGGUUCACUUUUGCCGAUAUGUUCCCCGUCUAACCUACGUUCUUCCGUAGGUGGGGUUUACCUUUGAGUACAUCCCCCGUCUAACACUACGUUUCCGUAGGUGAGGUUCACUCUUUGCCGCUGUGUUCCCCGUCUAACCUACGUUCUUCCGUAGGUGGGGUUCACUCUUUGCCGCUGUGUUCCCCGUCUAACCUACGUUCUUCCGUAGGUGGGGUUCACUCUUGGUUUGGAUGGGAUACGCAUCCUGACUCUGUUACCAUUAAGACUUUCUCUAUCCGCGUUCUUCCGCAGGUAGAGUUAAUUUGGCGUCCUACUUUGUUACUGCGUCCAGUAAUAGUAGGAGUUCAAAUAUCUUUAUAUGGCUCAGCUCAUUUUGCUGCCGUAUCCCCGUCCGAGUUGUGGACUUCCACGAUUCCUUAGGAGCAUUUUGUGUUACACCCUCCUGCCUUGGUGUGCCGCUGAAACUCCAACUUGUCUGGGUUCUUUUUUCUGUACCCCUUUUAUGUGGGAGAAAAAGUCGAUCCCUUGUUGGUUUUGGUCGACUUUUGCUAAAUGUCGAACUCAUGUUGAAUUCCCUCGACUUUUGCUAAAUGUCGAUCCCUUGUUGACUUGGUCGACUUUUGUCGAAAAGUCGAUUC
rnacentral:lncRNA from 1 species